GGGAGUAUAGUUCAGUGGCAGAGCGCAUGCUUGGUGUGCAUGAGGUUCUGGGUUCCAGCCCCAGUGCCUUCC
rnacentral:tRNA from 1 species